rnacentral:lncRNA from 1 species
UUCCCACACUUAAUUAUGCCCCUAAAUCAGCUCUUCUUCUCAAAUAAAUUCACUAAUUUUACAAUCAUUAAAUCAAAUCUUUAAAAUACGAAAAAUCUAAUUCAUGUUCCUCUUUUUUUUUUUUUUUCUAUUUUGAUGUUUAAUUAUCAAAUGCAGAAUAUAAGAAAUAAAGUUUUUCGUAUUUGUAUCUCUUACAAAAUUUUAUGCCUGUCAUGCAGAUAACAUUACUGUUUAAUUAAUAAGUUCGCGGGAGAAGAGGGACCAUUUUAAACUAUGUGAUAAAAUUUUAAAAAAUUAAUUAUCCAAAUUAAAAU